rnacentral:rRNA from 1 species
UACGGGGGGAGCAAGCGUUGUUCGGAUUUACUGGGCGUAAAGGGCGCGUAGGCGGCCACCGCAAGUCGACUGUGAAAUCUCCGGGCUUAACCCGGAAAGGUCAGCCGAUACUGCGGGCUAGAGUGCAGAAGGGGCAACUGGAAUUCUCGGUGUAGCGGUGAAAUGCGUAGAUAUCGAGAGGAACACCUGCGGCGAAGGCGGGUUGCUGGGCUGACACUGACGCUGAGGCGCGAAAGCUAGGGAGCGAACGGG